UUGCUGGACACCCACUACUCUUCUGUGGAAAUUUUGCCAGGUCACUUCAGCAGUCUUGUGCAGAUACUCAGCAGCUUUUCACUUGCUGGCUUUUGGAUCAGCUGCAGAGUCGUCACAGCAGAUCACAGCUCAGGAACAGGCUGAUUGAUGGUGCAAAGGAGUAUUCUUUGGAGGAGUCACUUGGAGGAUUUUUUUCACAAAGAAUGAAAAGUUCAGUGUGAAGUACAACAAAAGGACAGCAAGCUUUCUAAAAUAUAACUUUCUCACAAAGUUGCACUUGCCUCCCCUGGAGUUUCCAGCAGUUCUGUGAGCAAGAAAGAAGUGCAAUUCAAAACAGAGAAUGUCUGCUACCAGGAUGAGCAUCUUUCAUUUUUCUGGUAGCCCAGCCUGAAUCUGCCAGCCAGGACCAUCACUUUGAGUCUGGACAAGCAACACUUUGUCAAGCCUGAUACAACAAGAAUUCUGCAAUGUCUCAGAUUGGCCUGUAAAACUGAGUGCUGUGCUCAAACUAAGGGAAAAAAAAAAGAGCUACAAGAAAGAGCUGUUAUCUGACACAGACGCUGCAUCAAUCUUUUUUUCUUGCUUUUAUAUAGUUUGUCUUAUCUUCAAGGAAACGGAAUCAGAUUUUAACAGAAGCAACAACAGCUGCAGACCUUUACUCUGCCCUGAAAAAAGGCCACUGGUUUCCAUACUUAGUAUCAUUUGAAAGCUUCCAGGAGUGGUCUUACUUUCCAACGCUCCCUUUCAGCCAGAGAAAAAUAGGAGUUAUCUGUGAAUACUUUACAUUCCAAGUGUUUUAACAAACUCUUUAAGAAAUGUUGGCAAGGAUUUCUAGUAAUGGCUGUUGCUUUAAAAUGCUUGCACUCAAAAUAUUGGACCAUGUGUAAUUUUCCAAUUCUACAAAGUAACAGGGCCACAUAAAUAUUUUUGAUCCCUGAGAAUUCAUCAUCCAUUUAAAAUAGUACAAUAUUGUUCGAGUUUGGAAUACCACAUAUGCGUCCCAUCGGAGGUUGGAUCACUUUGUACUUGCACUAUAUCAAUGGGGCUAUUCAUGUCAGGGAAACAAGGAACGUUUGGCCUCUGGUAAUGGAAUGAACAUCAAUUAUAUAUAUGAAACUUGGCUCAGUAGAAUUAUCUUCGCGCUUUAUUUCUUUUAUUAUUAAUUCCUCAUCAUAUUUAGUAGCUUAAAGCAUUUGAAAAAUAAACGGUAAUAUACUGGCCAUAAAGGCUAAAUGGGUAAUGCUUUAAUUAUCUGGUGUCAUAAAGCCAAGUCUUCAAUAACCAUGUAUGAACACCUUUGGCUCACUUCUAACAGCUGUGAACAUUUUCCAAUAAUCAUAUAUUCUGAUUGCUUGUCAAGUUAGUAUAUUCCAUGACCUGAUAGGCCUUGUGGCUAAUCUAAGAGCAAUGUUAUCAUAAAUUAAUACAUUCCCAUGCUACAGAGUCCUUUCUGAUUAUAUAGCAUGACCUCUUGCAUUUCAGAGGCCAUGCAUUGUCAACUACUCACAUCUGUUUCAAGCCCAUCUUUUGUGGCAGUCACUAAGCCUCCACUUAGCGUUUUGCUGAAGAGCACGGGAUGAGUUACCUAAAACUCAUGGCUGUGUCAUAGUUCUAUUGCAGUUACUUUCACUUCACCCUUGUCUCUGAUUUAACCAAGAAUUUGAUUACACUGGUAAAUAACAUUUUUUUCAUAUUCUCCAGUUCAUGAGGAUUUAAAUCUACUUGUGAACUGGUGCAAAGCAACUGUUGCCAGUGUUUCACAGAACAGAAUGGCUUCACUUACAGAUAGAAAAAAAGAAUAGAAUUUAGCAGGCAAGCAUCAGCAGAAAGAUCAGACACAAGAUGUGAAAUGGAAUCGCUCAGACUCCAAAGAAAAGCCACCAUUUAGCAUUCAGGAUGAAAUUCCAAGGACUAUCCAGUGAAUGUGGGCAGACAGUAUUUUCUGGAGGAGCCCAUUAUUGCAAUAAGAGCAGCAUGCUUUUGAGGCUGGAACAAUAUUGUCCUCACAUUUUUUGCCUUCAUGUUUCUUGAAGAGUGACAAUCCCAGGACUGCUAAUUCCCCUGGAAUAAGCUGUAAUGGACAACACAAGUGACCUGGGCUGUGCCACACAAUGCAUUCUCCCUUCUUGUAAUGAAGCAUAAUGCCAAAAUGCUGGAUUUUGAGGAACGACUCUUGGAUACUGGGAAUAGGAGUUACAGGACAUUGCUUGAAAGGAUGGGACAUGCAGCAGGUCGAUCCCUCUUUUAUGCAUGAGAAAUAUCUGACUGGUGUAAAAGUGCAGUUAGAGUUUCUCCUCUUGGCAGCCUGAGUAAGAAGUUUGUCUAGAGAGUGGCCUUCGUGAACAUGUUGUACUUGACACCUUAUAAGAAAAUGGCAGAAGAAGGGUCCUCAAGAUGGCUGGGAGUUGGAGCACAUGCCAUAUGUGAACAAGCUGAAGGAUCUUGUCUUCUUCACUUGGAGGAAAUGAAGGCUUUGAGAGACCUGAAAGGGUUCUCCUAGUACCUAUGGGGAGGUUACAAAGAUGAUGGGGUCAGGCUCUUCAUGGCAAUGCAUGGUGUGAAAAUGAGAGUCAAGAGGUGUAAACUGGAACAGAAUAGGUUUACGCUGUUUAUAAGGGAGAAAUUUUUUUCCCAUGAGGGCAUUCAAGCAGUGAAGAAAGUUAUCCAAAGAUGUUCUACAGCUUCUCUGCUUGUGGGUUUUCAAGACCCAACUGGGUAGAAACUCGACAGCAUAGUCUGAUCUUAAAGCUAAGCCUGGUUUUGGCUAAAAGUUGCACCCCCUAAGGUCCCUUGCAAGGUCUCCACUAUCUUAUGAUAAUGGGAUUUGUUGUAUUUUUGCCCGCCACAAUUUUUGCAUGAAGUAUGAACCUUAAGGCAGAACUCUUUUUGGGUCAUAGCACCAGCAUGAGGAAAAUGGGAAGUCACAGAAGAGCCACUGUGACUUCCUAUCUUUCAUCAGCACUUUACACAGCCUGGAUAACGGGCUUUUGAUGUGUCCCCAGCCACAGUACAAAUUACUAACUGAGGAUUCAUGAGAACACAGGACAGGAAGGGAGUGCAGGAAUCUCUGACCAUUGGCUUCUGUUAUUGCACACAGCCAUGACAUAUCUACCCUUUUUAGAAAAAUAACCUCUUAUUUUAAAAUCAACUAAUGUUUUACUACUGUUGUUCCCAUGGCAAGACUGUUUCAGAAUCUCUACUCUCUAUUUGCCAUUUGUUAGAAAACUCUAAAUUUGUAGUUUGAAUUUAUUCAUGACCUGUUUAAAUCCUUUUGUUCUGCUGCCAUUUUUUUCUUUCUUUUUUUUCUUUGAUAUGGUUUAAAUAGCUCUUCUGGUACUUAUUUCCUCAAAAUGUCUGUAGAAAGCAAACCAAUCCAUCUCAGCUUUCAUUUGGGAAGUUAGACAAACCAAAUUCUCCCAGACUUCUCUUGUAAGACAAGCUUCUCAUUCUCCUCACCAACCUGCUUCAGUAUGAAUUAAUUGACCUGAGACUGGAUUACCAAUGCAGUACAUAUUAGUCCUAAUGAGAUCCUUCUAAAAUCCCAUACAAUGUGGUAAUAUUUGCACAGAUCCAUUGGGAAUAAUUCAGUUAAUGCAUCCUAUGACUGCUUUUCCUUUCUUUUGGCUUUUGUGGGCACCGGGACUUCUUUGGCAGCACCUGCUUUUACAACAGUUUAUAACUCAUUGCUAUUUUGUCUUUCUAUAUCUUGUUUGUCUACCUUUUAUGAUCAUUUAAUCUUUUAACUAGUUCUCAAGGUUUUCCACUUGCCUUGCUGACAGUCUCCUCCACUUUUGUGUUGUUGAUGACUCCUCUUUUCAUCCUUUAUAACCACUGGCAUGGAUUUAUUCCUGAAGAACUCUGCUUUUGUGGGAGGCCUUUCUCCAGCCUCAUACUCCUCCUUUUCAUUACCACUGUUUCAACUUUUCUAGGUUCUUACCUUCAAGGGUGAUCUCCUGUGAUGAUCUCUAUCUUCACAAAUUUAAUUUGUAAUUCUUUACAGAAGUUGAGAUGGGUGAAAGCUGACUGCACUUUUUCUAAGAAAUGCAGCCUGAUGGUGGUGGCAGCCCUGUCCAUUUCUUAGAACUAGAUGAUCUCAAAACUCUCUUCCAACUCAACCCAUUCUAUGAAUAAGUUAUUGGAAAUCUUAGGUUUCACUGACAACACACACCCUUCCUUAUUCUUCUCUGAAACCUUGAUAUUGCUGGAGCCAAGCCCAGCUGCUGCUGAAUUAUGCACAGCAGAAGAACAAAGAGCAGAAAGGCAAGAACAAAACGUCCUAUGACCCAUUAAAACCAUGGGAGAGAAUUCACCAGGUACCUUGCUCUUACCUGAUGUGGGCUAUGUCCAAGGUGCACUGCUAGCGCUCCCUCUCUUCCCCUUGUCAUUAACAACCAAUAAAGGCCUCUCAAGUUUCACUCGUUUCAGAGUCAGCAUGGAGGUGCCAGCCAAAGCACUGACUGAUGGACACUGAUUUGACAUUGACUGAUGGAUAACUUCUAGCUUUUUCUGAUAGUCAAGCUUGGUGAAUGACAUUCCUGCUUAAUAACAAGAAUAACAGAUCAGAGAACUUACAGGCAAGUGAUGCAUGUGCAGAAGAAAUUUUGUUUGCUAAGCCUUCCUUCUGAGGCUUUUCAUAUUGCAGCAGGUAUGUAAUAUUAGUGCUAAUAUUAUUUAAAUUGAAAGUAAUCCUCACUUAGCACUUCCAGUGAAGAGACAGAACUAGGCACCAUCAAAGCACCACGGGUUGCAAGAAAAUAAUGAUUCAGGGCUGGAGGUACUAGAACUUUGUGUUCUGUCAAUUUUUUCUAAAGGAUACCAAACAAAAUCAGGCUUCCAACAAAAUAAAUGACUAUUCCCAAAGGCAAUGGCGCCUGUGCUGUGUGGUACUUGCUCCUGCUGCAGCUUUACAUUAGUCUCUGCCAAGUAAUCCUGCAGUUUGCUUUAGCGGUCAGAGAUGGUGGAAAAGCUGGUCAGCUGCACAAAACAACAGUUCCAGGGGCUGAAUGAGAAAAGCUUCCAUAGAGCUUGAAACCUCACUUAAUCCUUUGCUAGUGUACAAAUUGACAAGAUAAUAUUGAGCUUAUCUGGCUCCUGUGGUUAAGAUCCUGUUAGGCCCUAGAUCCAUGAUUUCUGAGAAGUGUUACUGAAGCAAAGCAUUAGGGAUUUCUUUAGCUCUUCCAGCUCCCUUGAUGUUUCAUUUGCUUUUUGAUUGAAUAUUUCCCUCAUCUGCUACAAAUGCCUGCAGGUAGGCUGGAUUCUCCUUUUAAUGGAAAAAAAUAUCCUGCUGCAAUGAACUAUAAACUGGGCCAUGUCUACAUGCAUAUGUCUUUUUCCCAGCCCAAUCCACUGCCACUGAGACAAAAAGUACGCUUUCCCCUGCUUUUUUUUUUUGUUGUUGACAACAGAGAACUUUGCACAUUUUGUCUUUCAGCAAAAAAAGAGUGGGUUUUCAUAAAAUCCUGCAUGCAUAAGUGAAAAAAAAGAGUAUAUUUUAAUUUAAAACCAGUAAAAUUUCAACAAAAAGUGCAGUAGCACAUCUGCAUCCACUUUGUUCUCUAACAACUAUCAGUUCUGAGUUUAUGGAGAUCAUAGAGAAGGAAGAAGGCUUGUCACUUUGGCUCUCUCCAUGAACUGUGAUGUGCAGGAUGUGUGAUGGAGCUGUGUCUACAUUGCAAAUACAACUGUGCCUGGAACAUUUGAUACCUCCUACCAGAGCAUGGAGGAGGCAGGGAUGGAGGAGAGAGGAGCAGACACUGCUGUCUCCUGUGUGUGUUCAGUUGCAAGUCCCCAGGGUCUGGCCAGUGAAGAUGUGCUUGAUUCAGGACUUAACACUGGUGAUUUCAAGGGAGUUACAGUAGCAACCAAGACAGAACAGUUGUGUGUGCUGUAUAUAGCAGCAAUAGAACUGAAAACUGUGAUGCUUUAAAAUUUUGCUGUUUUUUCCCCCCAGGAGCCACCUUUAACUAGAGUGCAAUGAGCUGCCAGCCAUAGGCACGAGUAGGAGUAUAACACUCACACAGCCC